UGAAAUUGCAGCUAUGGGGAGGAAUAAUUACUCCCACUAGCUCCCACCUCACCGUCAACCAGCAGUCAAUUGCAUUGAUUUUGCCUUUGAAUAAUAUACAGUUGGUAUAUGACUCCGCCUCUUCACUUAUUCGGACAGUGUUUUUCCAUGUCUGAAACUAAAGCCAUCUGGGGAGGAGUUAUAACGCCCACUAGCCUCCACCUCACCGUCAACCAGCAGUCAAUUGCAUUGAAUUUGCCAUUGAACCCCAGGACAUCGGUCAGACUCGUUACAUAUUGGAUAGUGCCGUUAUGUCUUACACUGGCGCCAUACUCUUAUCUUAUAGAUGGUUUGAGAGACUGCUUGAAAUCCUAUUAACAAGUCCGGACAUGAAGGGCUGGAGCACAAUUGUCUCUCUCUUGGCCCAGCAAAGAGCAUGUAAAUGACAACGUGUGUUUUGGGGCUUUCAACAAUCCAUAAAUUGUUUAAAUUGUUCUUUUUUUUCAUACAUUUUUGCUUGACUUGUACUAUUGGACUCGGUCAUAUGGUCUUUGUCGCCCUCUACUGGAGUACUAAGGAUCCAGAUACAUAACACUGUACACUAGCUCUAGGAUAUGCUGUGAUGGUUGCUUGGUGCCAAAACUCGUCUGUGCAUUUCGAAACCUUCAUCAUAUCAGACCGGGAAAGACGACGUGUUUGUAGCCUAUGCAUUUAGAGAAGAGGAGAAUUCACAAUAAAUCCCUCUCACAGCCACCGGAGGGCGAGCAUUCAAGCAAUCGGGUGAAUACGAUUUACAUUGCGUUAGGAACCUUUGAUUCCGGAUAUCAUGUUGACAAUGGGACACGGUUAACUGUAAAACAGGAUGUUUUUCUCCGUCGUUCAGGUAAGCUUUCGUUCAAUACACCUGCUUA